AGGGUGGAGGCAGAGAUAGAGAGGGUUCCAGGUUUUAAAGCUCAAUUUUGCCCUCUGACUUGUUUGUGGCUUCGGGAAGGUGCGGAUUUCUUGUCUUAAUCCAGACGAAAUUACAAGUGGAAAUGAACUUGAAACAUCAUUGGGAGAAACUGGAAAAGAUGAUUCCACUUUGCGUACAAGGUUCAAUCAAAUGGAGGACGAGGAGCAAUUGAAUGGUGGACCAACAGCAAUCAAUAUCAGACGUGGAUGAAAACGUACUUGGACAAUAUUUCAUUGGACAUUUUGUAUUAUGUCCAAACACAAUUAUCUGAUUAUUGACAAAAAACUUGAACUCAUGUUGUCCCUGGGAUCACAUUGGUGCACAGAGUAAUGAAAACCAAAAACUAGCAGGUUGAAAAAUACCUCCAAGAGGCAAUAAUUCCCCCUAACGGGCAAAGGAAAAUGUAUCCACUAUG